UAAUGGCCUACCAAGCCGACGAUCCAUAGCUGGUUUCAGAGGAUGAUCAGCCACACUGGGACUGAGACACGGCCCAGACUCCUACGGGAGGCAGCAGUGGGGAAUCUUAGACAAUGGGCGCAAGCCUGAUCUAGCCAUGCCGCGUGAGUGACGAAGGCCCUAGGGUCGUAAAGCUCUUUCGCCUGUGAAGAUAAUGACGGUAGCAGGUAAAGAAACCCCGGCUAACUCCGUGCCAGCAGCCGCGGUAAUACGGAGGGGGUUAGCGUUGUUCGGAAUUACUGGGCGUAAAGCGCGCGUAGGCGGACCAUCAAGUUGGGGGUGAAAUCCCGGGGCUCAACCCCGGAACUGCCUCCAAAACUGGCGGUCUGGAGUUCGAGAGAGGUGAGUGGAAUUCCGAGUGUAGAGGUGAAAUUCGUAGAUAUUCGGAGGAACACCAGUGGCGAAGGCGGCUCACUGGCUCGAGACUGACGCUGAGGUGCGAAAGUGU
rnacentral:rRNA from 1 species